rnacentral:rRNA from 2 species
GAUGAACGCUGGCGGCGCGCCUAACACAUGCAAGUCGAACGGUUAAAGCACCUUUUAGGUGUGUAUAAAGUGGCGAACGGCUGAGUAACACGUGGGCAACCUGCCCUCCUCUUGGGGAUAGCCUCGGGAAACCGAGGAUAAUACCCGAUACUUCAAUGUGGCCGCAUGACGACAUUGAGAAAGCUUUUGCGGAGAAGGAUGGGCCCGCGGCCUGUUAGCUUGUUGGUGGGGUAGAGGCCUACCAAGGCAAUGAUGGGUAGCUGGGUUGAGAGACCGACCAGCCAGAUUGGGACUGAGACACGGCCCAGACUCCUACGGGAGGCAGCAGUGGGGAAUCUUGCACAAUGGGCGAAAGCCUGAUGCAGCGACGCCGCGUGCGGGACGAAGGCCUUUCGGGUUGUAAACCGCUUUCAGCAGGGACGAGGCGAAAGUGACGGUACCUGCAGAAGAAGCCCCCGGCUAACUAC